rnacentral:rRNA from 1 species
AGAGCGAACGCUGGCGGCAGGCUUAACACAUGCAAGUCGAGCGGGCGUAGCAAUACGUCAGCGGCAGACGGGUGAGUAACGCGUGGGAACAUACCUUUUGGUUCGGAACAACCCAGGGAAACUUGGGCUAAUACCGGAUAAGCCCUUACGGGGAAAGAUUUAUCGCCGAAAGAUUGGCCCGCGUCUGAUUAGCUAGUUGGUGAGGUAACGGCUCACCAAGGCGACGAUCAGUAGCUGGUCUGAGAGGAUGAUCAGCCACAUUGGGACUGAGACACGGCCCAAACUCCUACGGGAGGCAGCAGUGGGGAAUAUUGGACAAUGGGCGCAAGCCUGAUCCAGCCAUGCCGCGUGAGUGAUGAAGGCCCUAGGGUUGUAAAGCUCUUUUGUGCGGGAAGAUAAUGACGGUACCGCAAGAAUAACGCCCCGGCUAACUUCGCGCCAGCAGCCGC